UACGGGGGUGCAAGCGUUGUUCGGAAUUACUGGGCGUAAAGGGCUCGUAGGGGGCCAACUAAGUCAGACGUGAAAUCCCUCGGCUUAACCGGGGAACUGCGUCUGAUACUGGAUGGCUAGAGAUUGGGAGAGGGAUGCGGAAUUCCAGGUGUAGCGGUGAAAUGCGUAGAUAUCUGGAGGAACACCGGUGGCGAAGGCGGCAUUCUGGACCGACAUUGACGCUGAGGAGCGAAAGCCAGGGGAGCAAACGGG
rnacentral:rRNA from 1 species